rnacentral:rRNA from 1 species
AGUGAACGCUGGCGGCAGGCCUAACACAUGCAAGUCGAACGGCAGCACAGGAGAGCUUGCUCUCUGGGUGGCGAGUGGCGGACGGGUGAGGAAUACAUCGGAAUCUACCUUGUCGUGGGGGAUAACGUAGGGAAACUUACGCUAAUACCGCAUACGACCUUCGGGUGAAAGCAGGGGACCUUCGGGCCUUGCGCGAUUAGAUGAGCCGAUGUCGGAUUAGCUAGUUGGCGGGGUAAAGGCCCACCAAGGCGACGAUCCGUAGCUGGUCUGAGAGGAGAAUCAGCCACACUGGAACUGAGACACGGUCCAGACUCCUACGGGAGGCAGCAGUGGGGAAUAUUGGACAAUGGGCGCAAGCCUGAUCCAGCCAUGCCGCGUGGGUGAAGAAGGCCUUCGGGUUGUAAAGCCCUUUUGUUGGGAAAGAAAAGCAGUCGGCCAAUACCCGAUUGUUCUGACGGUACCCAAAGAAUAAGCACCAGCUAACUUCGUGCCAGCAGCCGCCGUAAGAC